AGAGAUAAAGAAAGUUGUGAAAAAAAGGGCAAAAUGUAGGUGAAAACAAAAUUGGGAGUCAAGUAUUUUUCUGUAUUGCACGAUCCUUGGCUUUGCAGAAUUUGUUUGAUUUCUGUCAGUGGUCCUGUGCAUUCUAUUUUCAAAUUUGUCUUUGAAUAUUGUCCUCAAUUCAAUUACAACUUUCCAUUAGUUCAGACAACAACCGGGGGACAUUAUCAGUAACGUAUCAGUAAAAUUACUAGGGUGUGGGAUUCAUAAAUGAAAAACUGAGUAAUUGCAUUUUGCUUGUGUUCUAACCACAGUGUAGGAUCUACAAUAAUACAGGGUUAAGGUAAACUAUUGGUAUAUUCUUUGAAGGAAUAUUUACAGUGUAGAAGCAAAAGGACGUUGCUUUGCAACAUUAGGGGUACUCGGAUAAGUUAAAGUGUCAGACCUGCAUCAGACACCCUCUAAGUGCGCAAUUAUUCCACAUUUGUGCUCUGUAGGGACAGUUGGUUCCACUACUGUCAUUGUGAUUCUUGUAUUCUUUUAUCACGGAAAUAUGGAAAAGGAGUUAUUGUUCCUUUCUGUGCUUUGUGGCACAUCGGGCAGCAACCUUGCCGUUCCUUUAGCAUUUUUGAUUAUUCGACCCAGCGUGGACGGAAAGCAUGCAAGGAGCCAGCUGGAUUCGAACUCGGGACCACUCGCCCUGAAGUUCAGUGUGGAUGCCACUACACCACCAGCCGGCUGCAGAAAAAUAAAACUUUAUUUUUUAUUGUGGGACACAGAAGUCCAACACAUGGUGGCUUCACAGACACAUGGAGUCCCUGUUCUUCAUUUCUGACACCUCCUGCUUUUAUCGUACUGGAUGAAGCAUAUUCCUUUUCUCUAAGUAUUGUCUGUGAUUUUUACAAAGACUGUUGAAGAAUUGGGAGAGAAAUAUAACCUGAUUAGAAAACAUGAGUAUACAAUAACAUGUAAUUAAGAAAAUAAAAAUACACAUAUUAGUUUGAAUAUUUAAAAGAUGUAAAUACAAUGGAUGUAAAAUUAAGGUAUAGAGAUUUUGGCAUGGACUAGAUGGGCUGAAGGGCCUGUUUCUGUGAUGUUCUUCUCAAUGACUCUAUGGGCUAUUCAUAAUACAUAAUGAUAAACUCACAAAUGAGAGUAUGCAGAUUUAUAAUGUGCUAUUAUUGGAUUGAUGUUCUGGAGAAAUAUUGGUGUAUUACCACUUCUUUUUUUGGUAAGAAAAUUCUUCCUUUAUUGCUAUAAUAAUCUUCUUUCCCUCCUCCUGAGCUUUGGUGUCAGAUGUAUUGCCAAUCCUGAACAAGAUCUCUGCAGCAGCAUUUCAUGUGAUUUCCAUCAGCCCUGGUCUGUUUUAUGAAAAAUUUGACCACCUAACAGUUGGAUUAAACAUCUGGGUCUAAACAGUGAGCAUGGAGGCAAAUAAUACAGCUUCGGUUGGCCCUCACGUGGUACCAGAGAUGUGCAGUGGGCAAUAUCCAUAUUCAUCAAACCAACACCCGCAGCCCACAUAGUAUUGGACUAUGAAUGAAGCAACGCUUUCUGUGAUUAAUUUGGGGCGGCCCACUGGUGCAGCUCGUAGGUCUUCAGUCUCAAAGCUCCAGCAUCCCGGGUCCAACCCUAAUCCCUGGUGUUGUCUGCGGAGAAUUCACACCAGGUGGGUUUCAUAGGGGUGCUCCGGUUUCCUUCCACAUCAUAAAGAGAUGUAGGGUGAUUCAAGCCCUGAUGCGUAGGUGAGUGAUAAACUCUGUGGAAGUUGAUAGUGCAGGUUUUUGCAAAUAAAACAGCAGAGACGGUUUUAAGUUUAAGGGAAGCCAUGACAACUCUUUUAUUGUUCUCCAAACACAGAACACGCUGCGCCGUACAAAACUUCAUCUGAACUCGUCAUCAUGUCAGACCAGCCUCUUAAAGUGAACCCCAGCUUGGAGUCGGUGGCUGUGAAUUAGGUACGUUACCCUACAACAGAGGAAGGUUUUACAAGGGGGAGAAAGUGGGAAGCUGGUGCUCUGAGCCGGCAUAGAGUCGAUUGCCUGAAAUGGCCUCCUUCCAUAUAAUAAGGAAAUAUGGAAGGAGCAUAAAGGAUUGCAGUUAAGGCCGAUGGAACAAGCUAGCCUUUGUAAUUUGCGCAACAGUGAAGUAUUUAUGCACCAAAACUGUAUCUGAAGCAUAAGUGAUACUUUAUAUUACCAAAACAACACUAAUGUUGCCAAGACCAGCCCUUUUGCUUUAAUACUGAAGGAAUAUAAAGAGUAUACCAGCAGUAUGAUUGUGGACUUUUCAAUAAGGAUCAGUGGACAUCAUUAGGGUCGGAAACCUUAUACUUUCUCAAUUUAAGUGCUCAGAGAAUAAUUCGUGGUCGCCCCUCGCAACCGAGCACAGCUUUUGAGUAAAUGUGGAACUUGCUUCAUCAGGUGAUGCACAGGCCAUUAAUUCACCUCCCAUGACAUUGACCUUUGGUUUGUCUUCAAUAAAUUGAACAGAGGAGGAUGAAUUAAAGAAAAUACAGAAAUACACAAGUGACUUUAACGGAGUGCAGAUGUGUCCAAUCACUAACAAGAGAAAAUCUGCAAAUGCUGGAUCAGACCAGACGGAAUCCAAUGUGUCUCAGCUUCACUGUAUGGCCUCUCAGCUGGACUGUAUGGACCAGCAGUAAUAUUAACUUGGACAACAACAAAGUACAUAGCUACAAGGCAAAGAAGAUAAUGUUGUCACAAGCUGCGGUCUAACUAACUGGCAGACACGCAAAGACAUCCAUGAAACAGAAGAAAAACCACAAAGAAUGAAUGGCAGAAAAAUGUUCAAACUCCAAAGCUUGCCCCUCCCAAGCAGAAGCAGCAGCAAAAGCAUCAACUUCCCCUACCCCCUCCUUUUGCCUGCCUCAACAAAAGCAUCAGCAUCCCCCUCGCCACCCACUAUGCAAGGAAUAGCAAGUCCCCAAAGAGACCAUGAGCUAGAGGCCAUCACAAAUUACUUUCCACCGGACAGUCUGACAUGCCAUCGGCUCUUUCUCUUCCUAACGUGGAGGAGAGAGGCAUUGCUCCUGCCAACAGCUCGCUGUUUCUGCGUUACAGUAUCUGAUGAAUGAUAAUACUAACACCAGAUACAGAAGAAGGACAUUUAGCUGUUGUAGACUUAAUUACUGCAAUUUACAAUUCAUCUAGUUUACCAUUGGCACCAACCUGUUGCUUCCAUAUGAUGUAAGCUAUUAAAAUAAUAGAUUAUCCCAAAAUUCAUUCAAAUUAACAGUUUUAUCAAGACACCAACAUACUUCUUAU